UACGAUCAAAAUACCGCGAAGGGCAAAAUAGUAAUUUGGUCAGAAAGUCAGAUUUUUAUCCCUCUCCUUCUUCUCUCUCCUCAUUUCUCUCUCCUCUCUCUCUCCCCUCCCGUUUCGACCCAGCCCCGACCUCCGCUCGCUUUCAUCGUCGCCACGGCCGCCACACUUGGAGCCGAUCUCCGCCGUUGGUACCAAACGAACAACCACUCGACCUCCGUCAUUUCCUGACCCAUCGCCGCCGUUGUCGUGGCCGGAGCUCGCCGGAAUCUGCCAUUUUUGCCGGAUUUCCAGUUUGAACUUUGAGCUCUUCGUUCUCCUUCAAUGCUCCACCAAAUCGAUCGAGUAAGGCACCAGAGGUCCAGUUGACCCACAGGAGGGACCUUUGAAGGGUCCAGCUAGCUCGGACCAACAGCCAUAGAAGUACGAAGGAAACCACUCGGGCCAUCUUCCCAGCUUUCGCCCCACCACCAAAGUGUAGGAUUUCAUUGUAAAUUUCUUAAAAUUAUGUAAAUGUGUAGAAAUG